UACGAAGGGGGCUAGCGUUGCUCGGAAUCACUGGGCGUAAAGGGUGCGUAGGCGGGUCUUUUAAGUCAGGGGUGAAAUCCUGGAGCUCAACUCCAGAACUGCCUUUGAUACUGAAGAUCUUGAGUUCGGGAGGGGUGAGUGGAACUGCGAGUGUAGAGGUGAAAUUCGUAGAUAUUCGCAAGAACACCAGUGGCGAAGGCGGCUCACUGGCCCGAUACUGACGCUGAGGCACGAAAGCGUGGGGAGCAAACAGG
rnacentral:rRNA from 1 species